GAUGAACGCUGGCGGCGUGCUUAACACAUGCAAGUCGAACGGAAAGGCCCAAGCUUGCUUGGGUACUCGAGUGGCGAACGGGUGAGUAACACGUGGGUGAUCUGCCCUGCACUUCGGGAUAAGCCUGGGAAACUGGGUCUAAUACCGGAUAGGACCACUUCUUGGAUGUUGUGGUGGAAAGUUUUUUCGGUGUGGGAUGAGCUCGCGGCCUAUCAGCUUGUUGGUGGGGUAAUGGCCUACCAAGGCGUCGACGGGUAGCCGGCCUGAGAGGGUGUACGGCGACAUUGGGACUGAGAUACGGCCCAGACUCCUACGGGAGGCAGCAGUGGGGAAUAUUGCACAAUGGGCGCAAGCCUGAUGCAGCGACGCCGCGGGGGGGAUGACGGCCUUCGGGUUGAAAACUCCUUUCGCUAGGGACGAAGCGUUUUGUGACGGUACCUGGAGAAGAAGCACCGGCUAACUACGUG
rnacentral:rRNA from 1 species